rnacentral:rRNA from 1 species
AUGAGGACCAAGCCCCCGACCUUCUCGGUCACCACCGCGUCGCAGCUCCACGACGCCAUCGACCGCCUCCUCCCGCUGCUCCGCGCCGACGCCGCCCACGCCCCGGCCGCGCGCGCGCUCGCCGCGGCCGCCGCCUCGCUCCCGCCCUCCACGCUGCUCUCCAACCGCCUCCUCCACCUCCUCUCCUCCAACGCCGCCUCCCUCCCCGACGCCCUCGCCCUCCUCUCCUCCGCCCCGAGCCCCGACCGCUGCUCCUACAACACCCUCGUCGCCGCGCUCUGCCGCUCGCCGCGCCACCUCGCCUCCGCGCGCGCGCUGUUCGACCGAAUGCCCCACAGGGACCACUUCUCCUGGUCCGCCAUCGUCUCCGCCUACUCCCGCCACGGCCGGCCCCUCGACGCGCUCGCGCUCUACCGCCGGAUGCAGGGGGAGCCCGGGAGCGCCGACGCCGACAACCAGUUCACCGCGUCCAGCGCGCUCGCUGCCGCCACCGCCGCCCGGUGCGCCCGCGCGGGCAGGGAGCUGCACUGCCACGUGGCCAGGAGAGGGAUCGGCGCGGGCGAUGCCGUCAUGUGGAGCGCGCUGGUGGACAUGUACGCCAAGUGCGGCCGGUUGGACGAUGCCAGGAGGGUGUUCGAUGGGAUGCUGGUCCGGGACGUCGUCUCCUGGACGGCGAUGGUGGAGAGGUACUUUGACGCCGGGCGCGCCGGGGAAGGAUUCAGGCUGUUCCUCCAGAUGCUGAGAGCCAGAGGUGUUCGACCGAAUGAGUUCACGUACGCGGGGGUUCUGCGUGCUUGCGCAGAGCUCGCCGUCGAGAGCCUCGGGAGGCAGGUGCAUGGCCGAAUGUCAAAGAGCAGCGUCGGCGACUCGUGCUUUGCAGAGAGCGCGCUCCUGCACAUGUACUCCAAGUGCGGGGACAUGGCCAGUGUGGUGCUUGUAUUCGAGGGGAUGCCAAAGGCAGACCUGGUGUCGUGGACGGCAAUGAUCUCUGGCUAUGCGCAGAAUGGUCAGCCAGAGGAGGCGUUUCGCUACUUCGACAUGUUCUUGAGGUCAGGAAUUAGGCCUGAUCAUGUCACGUUCGUUGGUGUUCUCUCUGCUUGUGCUCAUGCUGGUCUGGUCGACAAAGGUCUGGAGGUCUUCCAUUUGAUAAAGGAUACGUAUGGCAUUGCACACACCGCUGAUCAUUAUGCUUGCGUGAUCGAUCUACUCAGCCGAUCAGGUCAGUUUGAACGGGCAGAGGAGAUGAUCAACAAGAUGGCUGUCAAGCCUAACAAGUUCCUGUGGGCAUCCUUGCUUGGUGGCUGCAGGAUUCACAAGAAUGUCCGCUUAGCUAGGCGGGCAGCGGAAGCAUUGUUCGAAAUAGAACCUGAAAAUCCUGCGACCUAUGUUACUCUAGCUAAUACUUAUGCAUCGGUCGGUCUGUUUGAUGAAGUUGAGGGUGUAAGAAAGAUCAUGGAUGCAAAGGGCAUAACGAAAAUGCCGGCGUCAAGUUGGAUUGAAGUUGGAAGAAGGGUGCACGUAUUUCUGGUCGGUGAUAAGUCACAUCCUCGAACUGAAGAAAUCUAUGCCCUUCUGAAAAAGCUUUAUGGGAAAAUGAGGGAAGAAGGGUAUGUAGCGGACACCGGAUUUGUUCUCCAUGAUGUUCAAGAUGAGCGGAAGGAGCAUGACAUUGGCUACCACAGCGAACGACUUGCUGUUGCAUUUGGGAUCAUUGCCACUCCUGAGGGUUCCCCUAUCAAGGUUUUCAAGAAUCUGCGGAUAUGUGGGGACUGUCACACUGCUAUUAAGCUCAUAUCGCAGAUUGCUCAGAGAGAGAUCAUCGUAAGGGACUCGAAUAUAUUUCAUCACUUCAAGAACGGGGUUUGUUCUUGCAGAGACUAUUGGUAA